AUGGUUGAACUCAAUUUUUUCUUUGCACUUGAAUUACUUAUUUGAUAAGAAUAAUUUGAGUAAAUUACUUGCUAUUAAUCUAAAUAAAUUAGAUUUAUUAGGCUCCAAUUGUUGGAUGCCUAGGAUUUUGGAUCAUAUGCAUUAAGGGUUCAAACCCUUAAUCAAUUUCUUUGAUUGUUUGCAUAGGGCGCCACUUGAUUUGAUCAAGUUGGGCUUGCCCACUUAAAAG
rnacentral:lncRNA from 1 species